UACGUAGGGUGCGAGCGUUGUCCGGAAUUAUUGGGUGUAAAGGGCUCGUAGGCGGUUUGUCGCGUCGGGAGUGAAAUCCACUGGCUUAACUGGUGGCUUGCUUUCGAUACGGGCAGACUAGAGGUAUGCAGGGGAGAACGGAAUUCCUGGUGUAGCGGUGGAAUGCGCAGAUAUCAGGAGGAACACCGGUGGCGAAGGCGGUUCUCUGGGCAUUACCUGACGCUGAGGAGCGAAAGUGUGGGGAGCGAACAGG
rnacentral:rRNA from 1 species